GGCCUUGUAGUCUAGAGGUACGAUACUUGCUUUGGGCGAUGUUGCGACUGCAAGUGGCCUGGGUUCGAUUCCCAACAAGGCCC